rnacentral:rRNA from 1 species
CGGGGUGACGCUCGUGGAACGAGCGGCGGACGGGUGAGUAACACGUGGGCAACCUGCCUGUAAGAUCGGGAUAACUCCGGGAAACCGGGGCUAAUACCGGGUAAUACUUUCUUUCGCAUGAAGGAAAGUUGAAAGAUGGCUUCUCGCUAUCACUUACAGAUGGGCCCGCGGCGCAUUAGCUAGUUGGUGAGGUAACGGCUCACCAAGGCGACGAUGCGUAGCCGACCUGAGAGGGUGAUCGGCCACACUGGGACUGAGACACGGCCCAGACUCCUACGGGAGGCAGCAGUAGGGAAUCUUCCGCAAUGGACGAAAGUCUGACGGAGCAACGCCGCGUGAACGAUGAAGGUCUUCGGAUCGUAAAGUUCUGUUGUUAGGGAAGAACAAGUACCGUGCGAAUAGAGCGGUACCUUGACGGUACCUAACGAGGAAGCCCCGGCUAACUACGUGCCAGCAGCCGCGGUAAUACGUAGGGGGCAAGCGUUGUCCGGAAUUAUUGGGCGUAAAGCGCGCGCAGGCGGUUCCUUAAGUCUGAUGUGAAAGCCCACGGCUCAACCGUGGAGGGUCAUUGGAAACUGGGGAACUUGAGGACAGAAGAGGAGAGUGGAAUUCCACGUGUAGCGGUGAAAUGCGUAGAUAUGUGGAGGAACACCAGUGGCGAAGGCGACUCUCUGGUCUGUUUCUGACGCUGAGGUGCGAAAGCGUGGGUAGCAAACAGGAUUAGAUACCCUGGUAGUCCACGCCGUAAACGAUGAGUG